rnacentral:rRNA from 1 species
GAGUGCGUAAUAGCUCACUGGUCAAGUGAUUCCGCGCCGACAAUGUAACGGGGCUCAAGCACGCCACCGAAGUUGUGGCAUUGACAUUAUUGGUAGGCCUUCGUGGUCCAGCCGUGUUGAUGGGUAGGAGAGCGUCGUGUGGGCAGUGAAGCGGCGGGGUGACCCAGCCGUGGAGGCCACACGAGUGAGAAUGCAGGCAUGAGUAGCGAAAGACGUGUGAGAAACACGUCCUCCGAAAGACCAAGGGUUCCAGGGUCAAGCUAAUCUUCCCUGGGUAAGUCGGGACCUAAGGCGAGGCCGACAGGCGUAGUCGAUGGACAACGGGUUGAUAUUCCCGUACCGGCGAAGAACCGCCCCAGCUAAUCCAGUGGUGCUAAGAGUCCUAACCAGGAAUGUGUGGAUCCCUUCGGGGUGAAGCCGUCCUGGCGAACGCUCGACCCCAUGCUGGUGCGGCUAGCGUAUUAACAGGUGUGACGCAGGAAGGUAGCCCAAGCCAGGCGAUGGUUGUCCUGGUGCAAGUGCGUAGGCCGAGUGGUAGGUAAAUCCGUCACUCAUUGAGGCUGAGACACGAUGCGGAUGAAAAGUGGGUGAUCCUAUGCUGCCGAGAAAAGCAUCGACGCGAGGUUCUAGCUGCCCGUACCCCAAACCGACUCAGGUGGUCAGGUAGAGAAUACUAAGGAGAUCGAGAGAAUCGUGGUUAAGGAACUCGGCAAAAUGCCCCCGUAACUUCGGGAGAAGGGGGGCCAUCCACUUAUUAGGAUUUACUCCGAAAGGGUGUGGUGGCCGCAGAGACCAGUGGGUAGCGACUGUUUACUAAAAACACAGGUCCGUGCCAAGUCGCAAGACGAUGUAUACGGACUGACGCCUGCCCGGUGCUGGAAGGUUAAGAGGACGGGUUAGCCGUAAGGCGAAGCUCAGAAUUUAAGCCCCAGUAAACGGCGGUGGUAACUAUAACCAUCCUAAGGUAGCGAAAUUCCUUGUCGGGUAAGUUCCGACCUGCACGAAUGGCGUAACGACUUCCCAACUGUCUCAACCACGAACUCGGCGAAAUUGCAUUACGAGUAAAGAUGCUCGUUACGCGCAGCAGGACGGAAAGACCCCGUGACCUUUACUACAGCUUGGUAUUGGUGUUCGGUGUGGCUUGUGUAGGAUAGGUGGGAGACUGUGAAGCAGACACGCCAGUGUUUGUGGAGUCGUUGUUGAAAUACCACUCUGGUCACUCUGGAUGUCUAACUUCGAACCGUAAUCCGGUUCAGGGACAGUGCCUGGUGGGUAGUUUAACUGGGGCGGUUGCCU